GGGGCUAAAUAAAACCUUUUGAUAUCAGACACGCCUACUUACAGGUUCACCUCCCCUUCUAUAAUAAUCAAACGCAAAUUAGAAAUACAGCUCCCCACAGAUUCAAAACUCUUAGAUUCAACACCUCCAGAACUCACACUUCAACCCCAACAACACCCACGAUGACUUCUUGGAGCAAAUGUUCUCUACCAUCCCUUUGUGUUCUUGGCCUGACCUUAACCCCAAAACCCCGUGGGACCUCAAGCCUAGAGACCUCUCCGACGAAACGCCACCAUCUAACCCUGACAACAAUGUUCCUUACGAAUUCGACCAUGACUCUUCCACCUUCACUUCCAAGCUCCGUAACCACCAGAUUUCCGGCGCUACUAAGCCCUCCGCCGCAGCUGCCAUCAUGCUCCAGCAGCAACUCUUCAUGUCUUGCGGUGCUAGCGCCGGAGCCGACGAGUCUGGUCUGAUACAGAUGUCGCUUUCUUUGGGUGCCUCCGACGAUGUCGUUGAUGGGUCAUCAUCUUUCAAGUCUCCCAAUAUAACAAGAAAUUAGGGUUCUUCACUAUAAAAGAAGAGGAUUAUGGAGGCAUAAAGAGAGGGGAGGCAUGUACUACUACAGAAAGAAGGAGCACCAAAGGUUUGACAUUUUGAUCAGCAUGCCCUCAAGUUCAGCCAGAGAUGAAGUGGAAUCUUUCUUCAAUCUGGAGUCUCUAAUUUCAUCAAAGCAAAGAUGAAAACAAAUACAUAUAAGACAGCCCUUAAAUCCAAAUAUAGAGGAAACAAGAAGCUGAAAACAGAAAGAACAAGAAGCUGAAUACAGUAGAGAAGUACAGAGCAAUAGGUAUGCACAGAGAAAUUCAGAGCAACAAGUAUGCAGAUUGCAAAAAAUGCAAACCAACAGGUGCAAAGAAAUACAGACUGUGACAAAUAUUUUUAGAUGUCAAAUAUUUGAGCUUCAAGUCCCAAUAUUUAUUUAUUUCAAAUAUUUGCUUAAUGAUGUGCUCCACCUAUUUUUUAAAAGAAUAGAAUUAGUAAAUUUUUCAGAAAUUGUUGUUUCUUUUGAGAUACGAGUUUAACAAUAUGAACAAUUUGAAGAACCCUUUACUCUUUCACUAUGGAAUUGUUUUUUUUUAAAUUUUAACGUGUUAUCCUUUCUUAUUUAUCCAUUCAUAUGCAUUUAGUUCCUUGCUCUUUUCAUGUUUGAUGUAUCUUAAUUUGUUAUAAUAUUUUGCUAUCUUGGAGGGUUAGUCAUGUUGUUCAAGUGUUUUCCACUAGAGUCACUAAAGUACAUUCUCAUGUUUGUAAGAUUUCAAUUUAAUUUUUCAAAAGAAUUUUAAAAAUCUUUCACUGGGUGAAUUUCUAAAUGCUGCUCAAUGACACUUUGUGUUUGUAAGGGCAUUCAAAAAUCAAACAAAGAGGUACUUAAGAAGAUUUUUGAAAGCGUGAGAAGGAUAGAAAAAAAUCAGCACUUAGAGAACUUGAAUGCUUUCACACUAAGUAUCACCAAAGUACCGACCUAUGAUUUCAUAGUACUUUGGAACGCCGUGGUAUUAUGCAACAACCUAAUUUAGCUAUUCAAGGGUAAUUUUUUCUUAUUUUACAGUUUUCUUUUCAUAUUGAAUAGUAAAUCUAAUUGGUAUGAAAUUUGACAUGCAUGUUAAAAACAUAAAGAAUAUGCAAUCCAAUAGUUCAAUUUUCAAAUAUGUAAUUAUGUUAAUUUUUUAGUGGGAGUUGUAGACAUUGGUUAUAAGCGAGUUUGUAGUCAAACUUUUUGCUUUGUACUAUAUUUAUUUUAAAAUAUUAUGAAAAAGGUUCUUGCAAACGUGAAGAUGAUUUUACACCUUGGUUUAUGGUGGCCUAUUGUUUCAACAAUUACAUGUUGGUGCACACACAUGUUUAAAAAAAAUUGACUUAUGCGGGUGUGUAACCAUUAACCAAUGUAUAUUGAAGACUGAAUUAUAUAAUAGAUUGAAGCAUGUGAUUAUCAAAGGCAAUUGCAAAUAUUCUAAACUAAUUUUUGUUACUAAUUUUUUUUGCUUUAUAAUUUACAUGUAUAAAUAUAACCAGGCUAAAAUAUUACUUUUACUUUUGUGUGUAUAAAUAUAACCAAGCUAUCUUAGAAUUUUUAUCAUAUCAUGUUUAUUUUUACUUUGUUUUUCUUAUUUAUUGGAUUUUCCUUGGUCAAGAUUGAACUUGCAUAAUGUAAGCUUAUCUAGGUUUAGGAAUAUUUUUUACAUUGGCUAAUCAUUUGAAGGUUUUUUUUUUUUGACAGUUUUCUUUAUUGGGAUGUGUUAUAAUUCAAACUUAAUGUAUAUUUCCCAUUAUCUCCGUUUUUAUUUUUCACUAUUUUAGUGCUGUGUAUGUGCUAUACUCAAUUUUCUUUACUAAAUUUGUUGUGAAAAAAAUGAUUUGACUUAAUUUCGAUUCAAUUUAUUUUCCAUUUUUAUAAUUAUUCAAUCUUUGUUGUGAAGUGUCAUAGUGUUUGGUUUUUUUCCCCGUUUCCCCCGUUGAUUUACAUGUAAGGGUUUGCUGUGGCUUGAGCCACAUUGUCUAAGGAAGUUAAAAUACUUUUGUGAGAGUUAAGUUUUGUUUAUGUGUCCGUAUGUAUGUUUUAUUCUUUGGUUGAUUUAUUAAUUAUUUCCCUUGAUGUGCUAUAUCAUAAUAGGUUGAUGUGCUAUAUUAUAAUAGGUUGUUGGUGGUUGCAUUUUCAUCAUGAUCGGAAGAUGAAGAUGGAGAUUACCUUUAUCAAUGAUAGAAAUAACCCUAAUACCUACUGUGUCUUCGUCAUUAUCACAAGAUGUAGAUAGACUUUUUUUUCCUUCCCAAACCUCAUCUUGCUUGACAAACCUUAUAUUUAUCUAUUUGUACCAUAUAUAUUUAUCUUACAUUUUAAAUUGAUUCUAUAAUUCAUUAUAACAUUUGUAUAUGUUUAUUGAUUUCUUAUGUAUAUAAUUUUUAUGUUAGGUUGUUCUAUACAGCUUUUUUAGAAUUGUUAUAAAACAUUGUUUCCGUAAUUAAAGUUUAAAUUCAAAAUCCCUUUGAAUAUGCUUAUGAUGACUCCCUUUGUACUCCUACCGAUGGUAACAUUGAUUUUCAGACAGUAUAUGGGGUUCCAGCAGGAAGGGCAUAAGAUAUAGCCAGAGAUUUGAGUUUUGCAUUUGCUAGAGACUUUGCUUUGAGUUUGCUGGCAAGAAAAAGGGAAGGGGUAGCCAUGGUUCAUGGGGUUUUGGAUGGUUCACUGACUACAUUGUUUAGUUCCAAAGCCAAAGGAGUUGAUGGAUUUAGCAAUUUUUGGAGAAGAUUAAUAUGAACUAAUUGUAUUUGAUUGAUGAUAGUAUAGACUUCAUUAUAUUCAUAUUUCUUUUUGAUCAUGCGGUUUAGUAGCUUCAUGAAAGUACAAAUUUUAAAAAAAUCAUGAAUCUAAAUAUU